rfam:Bacillus subtilis subsp. subtilis str. 168 complete genome.
GGGGGUGGAAACAUAUGGCAUGUGGUCCGAAGAUCAUUAUCUUUUUGGAUGAACUUGAUGAUCCAAAUGUGAGAAUCAUUUUAGAAUGCAGAAUUUAAAUUACAACAUUGUGUUUUGCUCCCUGUUCGUGUGAACAGGGAGAUUU